GACGAACGCUGGCGGCGUGCCUAAUACAUGCAAGUCGAACGCUUCUUUCCUCCCGAGUGCUUGCACUCAAUUGGAAAGAGGAGUGGCGGACGGGUGAGUAACACGUGGGUAACCUACCCAUCAGAGGGGGAUGACUCUUGGAAACAGGUGCUAAUACCGCAUAACAGUUUAUGCCGCAUGGCAUAAGAGUGAAAGGCGCUUUCGGGUGUCGCUGAUGGAUGGACCCGCGGUGCAUUAGCUAGUUGGUGAGGUAACGGCUCACCAAGGCCACGAUGCAUAGCCGACCUGAGAGGGUGAUCGGCCACACUGGGACUGAGACACGGCCCAGACUCCUACGGGAGGCAGCAGUAGGGAAUCUUCGGCAAUGGACGAAAGUCUGACCGAGCAACGCCGCGUGAGUGAAGAAGGUUUUCGGAUCGUAAAACUCUGUUGUUAGAGAAGAACAAGGACGUUAGUAACUGAACGUCCCCUGACGGUAUCUAACCAGAAAGCCACGGCUAACUACGUG
rnacentral:rRNA from 1 species